GCAUGAAGUCGGAAUCGCUAGUAAUCGCAGAUCAGCAAAGCUGCGGUGAAUACGUUCCCGGGCCUUGUACACACCGCCCGUCACACCACGGGAGUCGGUCGCGCCUGAAGCCGGUGGCCUAUCAGUAAUGGGGGAGCCGUCUAUGGCGAGAUUGGUAACUGGGGUGAAGUCGUAACAAGGUAUC
rnacentral:rRNA from 1 species